CCUAGUCCUAAACUCAUCAGCCGCAACAUUUCCCUCUCUCAUCCCGUUCCUCUUCAAGCAAAGGUUCCAAUAUCCCUCAGCCAUGGACAACUUUUGUCCUUCUAUUUUGAAGCAAAGGGAUCUGUCCCUUUUACCCGCGUCUGGUGUAUUUCAGAGGUCUUAUGAAGACUUUCCCGUUUCAUACUUCAAAAAUGUAUCAGCUCCCUUUAAAUCUCAAACAAAAUCUCACUAUUUCGGGUAGUUAUCUGAAGCAUAUCUCUGCCAAAAUUCGUACAAAUUUCAAAGGAGUCUCUUGACUCAAUUUUGAAUAUCAAAUCUUUCAAUUCCCGCCUAAAUAAAAUCCCUAGCUUGUAGUUAUAAAUAUCAGCCUUGGGAUUCAUGUCAAGGAGGAGGAGGAGGAGCUCACACUUAAAAAAAAAAUCACUUUUUUCUAUCUAAGAUUUUUUCUGAACGUGUUCAAGCGAGUCGACUAUUGAGCAUAGAUCUGUGACACAAGUCCUAGUGCACUGCACACGAGAAAGGAUGGAUUUCAUCCCCCAGAUCCCCUAGAUUAAGAUGGUCAGUGGCGUUCCAAGCAAGCUGAGGAUAUGGUGGGAAGAUUUGGACCUUGGUAGUAAACUGGCUGUUACGAGGAGGUUGUGGUUCCUCACUUCACUGUUCCGAAUCACUCCCAACAAACAUGUGAUUAGAGCUUUACUUCAAUUUUAGGAUCUAAAUCGAGUUGUCUUCAAAUUUAAGGACUUUGAACUCACACUCACGUUGGAAGAAAUCAGUUAUUUCACUAAUUUGAAAUACCAAGGGAGAGGUCAGAUUAUCCCGCACAGUCAAUCAGGGAAGAAAUUUCUUCGCUACUUGGGGUUGAAGAACACUAAGAAAAUCCAAUGCUUCGAGAAUAACUGGGUCUCUUUGGAUUAUUUGUAUGAGAGGUACGGUCGUCAAGAUGGUCAAAAGCUGUUCAAGAAGGAAUUCUCAUGCACUCCCGCCCAUUGGCAAGUUAGACGUCCCAUUGUAUUUGUUGUUGCCUUAUUUGGGACUUUGAUAUUCCCACGUGAAUACGGGAAGAUCAGUACUAGCAUAUGUUCUGUGGCUCGAGCACUUUUUGAAGGAGUUGACGGCGCACAACUCACCUUGGUUCCUAUGAUUUUAGCAGAAAUACUUCGCGCUUUAGGAAAGUGUAAAAGAGGUGAAACAAAUUUCUUUGAGGGUUGCAAUCUUCUCCUACAGAUGUGGGCAAUGGAGUAUUUUUACUAACGUCCGAAUAUGGCAGACAUAUGCUUUAGUGAAUCAAAUAAAAUUGAUAGUUUUUAUGAAAGAAUGAAACUGUUUAUAUCUCCAGUCGGCACUAAUGAUUGGUACGAGUUCUUAAUUUCCCGCACUGGUGAUCAAAUCCAAUGGAAAUACUCAUUGCUAUCACAUACUACGGCCUACAUAAGAGGUAUAAGACUUUACUAUAUCGAGCUUAUUGGGUUGAAGGGCCUCCAGCCAUACGCUCCAGUACGCGUACUUCGACAGUUUGGUCUAGAUCAAGUAAUCCCUCUCCGAGCUAAUAUGAGUGGUUCUGAAAUCCUCUGUGGGCCAGACUUCAGAGUUCCUAGAGCUGUCCAGAUUCUUGAUGAAUGGGAUAAUAUUAAUCCAAUAAGUAUUGGGGUUGGACCGGCAAGAGGUAUUCCAGAAUAUCAUGCGUGGCUUCAAGAAGACUAUGGUAACAUAGUCUAGCGAAGUGGGCUCAAAUGGCAAAUAUAAUGCAGUAUUUGGGGAAUGCGGGAGAAGGGCCUAGCAAUGACGUGGCAUCAUCUUCAUUUCUGCCGCCAGCGUGAUCAA